rnacentral:lncRNA from 1 species
GGCUGGUCCAAGAAUUUGCUUGGGGAAAGAGUUUGCCUAUAGACAGAUGAAAAUAUUUGCAGCGGUGCUCCUACGCUUCUUCAAGUUCAAGCUUGGUGACGAGAAGAAGGAUGUUGAGUACAGAACCAUGACGACUCUCCACAUUGAUCAAGGCCUAUACCUCCAAGUACUCCACAGAUAGAAUACAUGUAGCAAACUUUCUCCUGUAGUAUUUUUAAGCCAUGUAAUCAAACUCAUUAAGCUGGUGUUCUUAUAAGCAUGUAUAUUCUGUUGGGAUAUAUUUGGAAAUCUAACGUCGACGAGCAAUAUCUAAGGUUUCCCUUAAUUUUUCUUGGGUUGACAUGGAUUUUGUGAUUUGUGAUAAAGAUUUUGAUCUUCCAUUAAAUCACUUUAAUUUGUGCUGAUUUUUUGAUAUAUUCAUUCUGAUCUUACUAUUUUUUUAAAGUUGAAAGGUCUUUCCCCAACAGUUAUAUUUCAAGAAGGCCAAUUUGUGGAUCCUAAAGCACAAUUAUAAGCAGCUGACUUUGACUCCGAGUCUACUGGUCGGUUAAAUAAAAUAAUUCCUAAGCUUCGACCUACAUCUCCACCUCAUUGACCACUAUUGUCGUACCCAGAUAUAUCUAAAGUCAUAUAUCUUUAAGGAAGGUAUUUUUGAUCUACUCUUUGUCUCUUGAAUUCCGGACCUUAUGCUAAAAAAAAUAGAAUAAAGUAUCUCAGAAAGAAAAUAUAAAUGAUAUUUGAUACGAUCAGCCAUCAAAAAAGGAGAGAGAGAAAACCUUCCUAAGCAUCUUCAUUUCUUCGAUCUUUUUCUUUUUAUCAAGAUUGAAUGAAAAUAAUGGAAUGAAAAUAACAUCCUAACGACAGACGAAGGUGAGAUUAAUUUAUUUUUUAUAAAAUAAAGAUUAUUAUGUGAAAAUAAAAAAUAUAUAUUAUGCAAGAGAAAAAACAAAAACUUGUGANNNNNNNNNNNNNNNNNNNNCCACAUCCUCAAGGGCAACUUCGAGAACUACGGCAAGGUACGCAGCUCGAUCGACAACAAACAAAUAGCGGUGCUUCGAUCGUAAAUCGCAAAUCAAUGUUUUGAAGAAACUGUUCUUCUUUUCUGUGUUUAAUCAUAAAUCAAUUCAUUAAAAUUUAGUUCUUCAAAGAUCUUUGUAUCUUUCAUCCUCCAUGAAUCCUUUUUCCCAUCCUUAGUGUCUAAUUUAACAUAGAAAUCUAAUCAUCGAGACUUUUUUGCUUCUCGUUUAGUAAGAUAGCAACAUGAUAUAACAACUUCCUUAGUGUCUCAAUACAUCGGUAUUAACCGAAAUUGUGAACCUUAUUUAUUACCUUAGCGUCGAUACUCUGUAUAUAUAAAAAUAAACACGAGUCACAAUCAAGAAUAUAUUCAGUGCACAUACGAUGGUUGAGGCAAGAAUAACUAGUAUUGUGAGGCUUAUUUACUACCUAAUCACCAAGGUAAUCAACUGUGACAACAAUGUCACAAUGACACUAGAAGAUACAAGGAAAAGAAAAGAAACACAAAAAGAAUUUUAUGAGACUAAAUAAAAGCAAGGCAACAGUCCAUAUUAGAAAUAAGCACACAAGAAAUAAUAUUCCAAUUUGAGUCCAAAACGAUGCAGACAAAAUGAAGAUUCAAGUUUCUAGUAGAACAAAAAUUAAAAAUGAAGAAACUACUUCUAUAAAUUGAUAAAAGUCAUACCAGAUAAUCAAUAAUAGAGAAAAAUAAUCUAGGAUGGCAAGUUAUAGGUAUGCUUAAUAUAGGAGUGAGGAUAUAGAUAAGUUACUUGAAAAACAAAAGCAAGUAAUACUAACUCAAUUUUGUUACUUUUAUUAGCUUUCGAGACAUCGUAUUAUCAUAGCGUCACGUUUCACAAUUUAAUAAAUUUUAUACUUAUUUGAUGGGAUGGUUAAGAGAUCCUACUAAGAUUUGAAAAAAUUUGUAAACAAAAUUAAAUAUGUCAAACUAGCUCAUUCAGCAAAUUUUACAAAUUAAAAGACCGAUAAAUGGUGAAAAACAUUUUGGUUAUUUACACAAAAUGAAGAAGAUAUUAAAAGAUUUAGUUAUUUACACAAUAAUGAAGUAGAUAUUAAAAGUUAGAAAGAUAGAAGAGAGAUUUGCAAAUAUUUCUAUUGGCUUAAAAAAAACCAAUAAUAACAUACUAAAAAGAAAAAUAAAAUAAUAAGAUCCUCAAAACAUAAUGUGAUGGAGACCAUGAUUCGCUUUACCGGUCAAUACCAGUAUAUCGACUAACUAUCAGUACGGUAUAUAUCAAGCUAUACCGAGAAUAUUGAUACAUGGUACAUGCAGAUAUAUCAAUAUACCGCUCGUAUCGAUCUCCGAUCGAACCAGUACAUAUUGUCCGUAUCGAACGAUAUGUCAUGGUACAACAAACCUUCAUGGGGACUAUAUAUAAGACAAAUGAUAGAGAAAAAAAAUUAGAAGAGAGACUUUGUACAUAAUUUUUAUUGGAUAUAUAAAAAUCACAUGAUACAAUUUCAUAAAGCAUGAUGUCAUGGACUAAAAAAAAAAGAAAAUAGCUUUGAGUAGUUAUUUAAUUGUGGAUGAUGAUGAAGAUUAUAUAACUGUGAAGAACAAGAUACUUGAGACAAUUGCAUUCCUGAUGAUGAAAGAACUGUAUAGCAGGUGAGCAGGGUUCUUAUUUCUUUGCAAUAGAAAACACUCAGCAUAUGUUAUCAAUAAGUUUCUGUAAUGUACAUAUUUAGUGAUACUAUUGUCUUAAUUAAUAAGAUGGACCAGAUAUUACCUUAAAUCAGCAUUAGAGUAAGAAGCUCUAUGUAAUCUGCAGCAGAAUAAGUUAGAAUAAGAUGAAAAGUAUGGAACGCAAUUCGAUUUAUAUGCCAUGAACUAAGACAAAUUGAGUUAAAUUCAUAAAAUACCAAAAAAGUAAUAAAAAAAAUCCUAAUUUGCCAUUAGUAACUAAGAAAGCCAAGUAGAACAAAAGAUGGAAAAUUUCCCUUCCCAAGACCUAUAUUUCAACAAGAUCCACUUUUAAGGCUCUUCUUUUGCUAAUUCAAAGAAGUAUCAUCACUAAAAUAUACAUCAAAAAGACAAAUAGGAAGUGUUGCUCUAGAUCACGCAGCAAUACGUAUUGAUUGAUAUUUAUCAGGCUGAUGAAAAAUUAAUGUCAAGUCAUAGUAUUUAUCUUCUUUUCCAUGAUGUUGCAUGCUAUAUACAAAUGUAUACAAUAACCAUCGUACGAAAGAGCACAUCUUAUGUUAGAUAAAAAUAUAAAAUUAUCAUGCUAUACAAAUAACUACCUAUAUAGCAAAAUCAUAUCAAUUUAUAGAGAAAAAAGUAUAUCAACAUAUCAUGGCAACAAAAGAUAAGAAGCAUGAAAACGUUAAGCUUCUUUUUGAUUGGUGAAUCUUCACACUGAUAAUACCGGUUAUACUAAUAUUUAUGCAUGCAUUGUAUGAUGGAGUUGCAAAUAAAAACAAAAUAAUUACAAUGACUUAAGAUUGUAUAUAAUACAUAUAAAAUUUCAGAAUUGACAGGCUGCAACACACCAAAUAAGAAGAAAGAAAACCGCUUGAUGAAAUCGAUUCAUUGUUUUCUCCUCAGUUUAUCCAGCCGAUUAGCAUCAUGAAUUCAAUUUGUAGAAGAAAUUACCUGAUGAAGCAUUUACAAUCUUUUGACGUUGACUUUCCUGGUCAACUUCCACUCUUAGUCCCAUUCGAGAAAUUUCAGGUGUGAUAACUGGUUCCAUUCAGCAAGUAUCGCACUGACAAUGUUGCCCAUUCUCUCAAUAAAGGCCAACAUUCAUCAACAACACACCGUCGCACGAGCAAAGAGACUCCAUCUUGCUUUCUGAUAUCAUCUUGAACCUGCUUCCUUCCGUGUAGGAAAUUGCAAAUGAUAGAAACUACGUCUGUCUCAAACCCUACGUAAGGACAGACUUUCAAAUAUGUGGAUGUCUGUAUUGCCCGGUUCUUAGCAAUAUACGAGGGCUCCAGUUAUCGAAGAAAUCUUAAAAGAAGUCGUAGGAGGCCUGCAGAUAGCAGUGAGUUAGCAGGGUCCUCUGCAGCUGGUGAGGAAUGAACCUUCCAGCAAACAUAUAUUCCUCAGAAUUACAAAUGAGUUCUUUAGAAUAAUAAUUUAUAUUUUGUUAUGUUAUAUCUCAACUAGUUGAUUCCACCAAAUGAAAACAUCGGUUGAAACUAAUUUCACCUUCUACACUGUUACUAAUCUUUUGGUCAGUAAUUUUUUAAAUUAUAAUCUAUCUUGUUCACUCUAAUAUUAUAAUAUCAAUCAUCAUUUGAAAAAUUAUUUUAUCAUUUUUUAAAAUCUUAAACUUUUAAAACCUUAAAGUAUGUUAUUGUUUAUGUUAUUCAUAACUAUAUUUCUAUGGUUUAUACAAGUUAAUAUCAAUAUCCAAAUCUUGUCUUGUACUUUUUUUCGAUGCCAUAAUCCUCAAAUUCAAAAGGUUUUUGUGUUAUGUCAAAUUAAUUUUAUUAAGUCAAUCUUUCCAUUCUAAAAUUUUACUUCUUUAAUAGUACAAGUCACUACAAUAACCAUUCAUCGUUAUGUUCAUAUGAGUAUACCUCAAAUCUUCUCAACCAUACCUCUCACCAUAUCAAUCAGUAGUUCUCUAGACCUAUGUUUUCUUAUUACUCCAGUUGAAUGGCACCUCGUCCCUCUGAAAAUUCUUUAUCUACUUUUCAACCAAUUCAUUAUGCAAUGCCCAAUGAAGCAACACUCUCAUCAUCAUAAAUGAUAUAUUUGUCCUCUCUUCGGCUAAGUGACACAGAAGUGCAUGAGCUUGAUCAGCUACGUGUCACUAACUCUUCACCAAUUUUCAUACCUUUAAUACAACUCAAUAAUAUUAUCGAGCUUAGACAUUCAAUGGCAACACGCCCUAAAUAUAAUAUUUUUAAAACAUAUCAAAUCCUUGAUCUCUAUGCUACCACUAGUUCUCCACUUGAGCCUACUAAACUCAACUAUUACCCAAGCCUAAAAAUCUCGACACUAGCAUAAUGAUAUAUCAUCACAUGUAAAAUAUCAUCAGGUGUAAAUGAAUAUUUCGAAUUAAGCAUAACCCAGAUGGAUCUAUUGCCAAAUACAAAGCAUAUCUAAUAGUCAAAGGUUUUACCAACGAUUCAGUGUUGAUUUCAGAGGGAUCUUCAAUCCAAUUACUAAAUUAAUGAUAAUUUGACUUAUUUUGAGUUUGGCUAUUAUUCAAGGCUAGCAUAUACGCUAAUUAGAUAUUAGCAAUGGCUUCUUACAAUGGAUCUUAACUUACUAUAUCUUUACAAUGGAUCUCAAUAUCCAAACUAUAUUUAUAAACUAUGAAAAAUUAUUUAUGAAUUUUACCAAAAUUUAACAACCUACUAAACUUAGCUUAUUUUUUAUGUUAAUCGGUUUUGUCAAUUUUAAGUUUAACACAUCUUUAUUCCUAAAACAACAAAAAAGACGUACUAUAUAUCUACUAAUAUUAUUAUCAUAUAUAAUAGUUUCAUGAAAUUUAAAUAAUUUCCUAAGUAAUUAAUAGAUCGAUUCUCCAUUAAGGACCUAGGAACUUUGAGUUAUUUUUUGGGAGUGAAAGCAAUGCAUAUAUCUUUUGGACUUUUCUAUCUUAAAUGAAGUUCAUUUGAAAUCUUUUAUUAAAGAUGAACAUGUGAAUUGUCAAAGAAGUUGCCACCCUAUUUUCUACCACUCAAAUUAUAUGAUGACAGUUCUACUAUGGAUCCCACACAAUAGCAACGAGUGCUUGGUUUCUUAUAGUAUUUAUCUCUUACACAUCUAGAUAUUUAAUUUAUAAUUAAUAAAUUAUCAUAAUUCAUACAUCGACCAUCGAUUGUGUAUUGAUCUAGACUAAAAUGUACCUUAUGGCAUCUUAAAGAGACUCUUAAUCAUAUAUUUCUUUUUCGUAAAUACUUAUCAUUUCAUUUCUAUGCCUUUGUCGAUGCUAAUUGGGUAGACAACACUGAUAAUAAAGCAUUUACGUCAACUUACAUUGACUUCAUUGGAGCAAAUAUGAUCAAUUAGAUUUUCAAGAAAUAAAACACAAUUGUAAGAUCCUGAAUACCAUGCCAUCAUCAUCAUCGAUACGUAAUUCAAUUGAGUCACAGCUACAUGAACUUGAUAUUACCUCUAAAUCUAUUCCUAUAAUAUAUUAUGAUAAUAUCAGUGCCAUUUACUUAUGCGCUAACUCGAUAUUCGAUUCACGCAUGAAAUGCAUUGCUAUCAAUUUUUAUUUUGUCAAAAAUCAAGUUAUCAAACAUCAACUAUGUAUUUCUUACGUUGAUACUUUUAAGCAACUAGUAGAUUCCGUCACAAAGCCUCUCGUUCGCAGGAUAUUUCAAUUGCAUCAGUCUAAGAUUAUCAUCCUUAACGGGAGCUCAAUCUUACAAGAACAUGAUAGAAGAUAAUGACAAAUACAAAUAUGAAAUGAUAACUUUACAUUAUAUCAUCCUUAUAUAAUAUAAUCCUCAAUCAAUCUAUGAUUUAAAGAUUAAACAUAUUACUCCGAUGAAUAAAAUUAAUUAUAUUAUUUUAAAAUUUAUAUAAAUAUAUAUUACUCCAAUAAAUAAAAUAAAUCAUUUUUAUAAUAAAAUUUCUGCGAAUAAGAUCACAGGCCUCAUCUACCGGGGCAAGCCCAUCUCCGAGUCCAUGGACAUCGCCGAGUACGUCGACGAGGACAGGACCUGCGAGCCCCGCAUCCACCCCUCCCACCCGUUCGACCGCGCCGUGGCUCGCUUCAGGGGAACCAACAUCAGCGACAAGGUUUCUUUAAGCCUACUCGAUGGAUGCACCAAUUUGUGCGUGACGUAGAACUUCCUCUGUCUUCUUUCUGCAGUUUCCUCAUCAGGUACGAGGAUCUUGAAAGGAAUCUCGGAAGGGACGCUCAAGGCAGGAACAUCAGCUGCUGGAACAAGCUUUCGCCAAGUAAAGCCGAGGGAAGGACUGCUGUAUGCCCAUAAAUAUUCUGCUCGUUGAGGCUCUUCUAUAUGCUUCCCUAAUUCGAAUAUCCAAAUCUCAUGGUUUAGGAUCGUGUAAGCACUCCGACUAACACUACAGCAUCAGAAUAUCUACGGGCAUACAGUAAACGAAAAGACAACACAGCAGUUUCUAUGUUUGUCUUCUUAUGGAGGAAAUCGGUUCGUUCGUCGGAAUUUUUAGCUGAAACAUUGAAGCUCACAUUGUUUCUCAUGAAGUUUGCAAUGACAAAAUUAUCUCGACUUGGUUGACUGAUUCCCCUUCCAAGAAACUCACAGCAAAAGAACAAUAUAGUGGUUUAAGAAAACGCCUGUGCGGUGGCGGGAUUUUAAAGCAACAGAAAAAAAGCCAUACGAAUCCUCCUUUUUCUUGUACACCUAUUGCUUCGUUGUGUGCGACCGUCCGUCAGACACGUGUCCCGCACAGGAGACUUCAAUCCUUAUUUAUGGGUGCCAUUCUCUACAUACAUCUUCACCUGAAGCCCCCAUGGAUUUCUUCUCGAGUUUCGUCUCUCUCGCUGCUGCAGUAGUAGGCCUUGUGUUGCUGGCGACCCGCACCUGGAGAGCCCUCAACAGCAACCGGAAGAGAUACCCUCCGGUGGUCGGCACCAUCUUCCAUCAACUCCUCAAUUUCCGAAGGCUUCAUGACUACCACACGAAGCUUUCUCUCAAGCACAAGACCUUCAGGUUGCUCUCUCCCCUCUGCCACCAGAUCUACUCCACCGAUCCCGCCGUCGUCGAGUACAUCCUCAAGACCAACUUUGAUAACUACGGCAAGGUAUUAUUAUUGUAAUCUCCCGACUUCAAUGACUAGUUCUCAUCGGAAACUUAAGCAAUUACAUUCCAUUUUAGUUCAAUAAUUAAUAAAAAUUUAAUUUCUUAUUGAGAUUUUUAUUAUAAAUUUUAGGAUAUCUCUAUUGGCAACUGUUUUAUUAUUUACAAUCUCAUCUUGAUAAGUUUUAAUAUUUCUAAGAUAUCCUAUGCAUGAAAAACAUAAAUAAUCAAAUUCAAUGAUAUGAAGAUCGAAUAGGAGGAAGUGAAAAAUAGUUUUUUAUGUUUGUUAGAUCAAAUUAAUAUUUUUAGGAUUUAAGAUAUUGAGUUAUAUACCCGAAAGAUGAUAUUCUGAUCGUUGCUGUAACAGUGUGAAAGAUAUCAUCAUCUUUUGGAUUAGUCUAUAUUAAUCCAAAAGAUGCAAGCCAAGGUGGGAGUUAUAUUUAAUAAAAUUAUAUUUUAUUAGUUUUUUAAUGGUUCUAUUAAUUAAGAUAAUGACAGCAUAAGGCUUGGUAGAUUAAUAAUUAUGUUUAACCUAAUUCGAUUCAGGGAUGGUAUAACUACGGAAACACGAAGGAAUUGUUCGGAGAUGGUAUAUUUGCAGUAGACGGUGACAAGUGGCGCCACCAACGAAAACUUGCGAGCUUUGGGUUCUCUACAAAAGUCUUGCGAGAAUUUAGUGGUGCUAUUUUUAAGCGUAACGCAGUCAAGCUUGCUCACGUCCUUUCUUCCUAUGCCACUUCCAAUGAGAAGUUUGACAUGCAAGUAAGUAUCAGAUCCCUUCUUGUUCUCAGAGGAUCCACAUGCAUGCUUUUCCCGUUAAUCAACAAGUCAACGUAAGUGCAUGUGAUCUGCAAACGUCAACAGGACUUGUUGAUGAAAUCCACCAUGGAUUCCAUAUUCAAAAUCGGAUUCGGAUUGGAGUUGAACUGCUUGGAUGAUUCUGAUAACCACGGAAGUGAAUUUGCCAAGGCAUUUGAUGUUUCGAACGAGUUCAUCAUGAUGCGAUACGUAAACGCCUUUUGGAAGGUCAUGAGAUUUCUCAACAUCGGCGGUGAGAAGACUCUCAAGUCAAAAGUCAAAUUGGUCGACGAUUUUAUAUACAAACUGAUACGCAUCAGGGUGGAAGAAAUGUCAAACGAAGGAAGUGAUUCGGUGAGUGAAUCCUUCAAGUACACCCUUCCUUUUGUGGAUGAUCUGAGAGAUGAUUAAUCACUCUUUUUGUCAUAAUAACAGGAAGGGAAAGAUGAUAUAUUGUCAAGAUUUUUGGAGGAGAGCAGAAAGGAUCCACAAAAUAUAGAUUUAAAAUAUCUGAGGGACAUAAUUCUUAACUUCAUGAUUGCUGGAAAAGACAGCACGGCAGGCACGCUCGCGUGGUUCUUCUACUCGAUCUGCAAGAACCCACCGGUGCAAGAGAAGAUCUAUCAGGAAAUCAAGGAAGUGAUCGAAGCCAGUGAAGAUGCAGCUUUUGAUGCAUUCGCGGAGAGCAUAGAUGACGAGUCACUCAACAACAUGCACUAUCUUCAUGCCGCCCUCUCUGAGACACUAAGACUAUAUCCUGCGGUUCCCCUGGUAAGUCAAAAUGAUAGAGAACGUUGACUGUUGAAGCACACUAAAUAUGUAUGAAAUGCAGGAAAACAAGGUGUGCUUUGCUGACGACAUUUUACCUGGAGGCUACAAUGUGAGAAAAGGUGAUAUUGUGUUCUACCAACCCUACGCGAUGGGAAGAAUGGAAUACCUGUGGGGAAGGGAUGCCGAGAUAUUUCGCCCGGAGAGGUGGCUGGAUGAUGGUGGUGUAUUCCAGCCUGAGAGCCCCUACAAGUUCUCAGCCUUUCAGGUGAGGAAACAUCAGGAUAUUAGGGGUGGGCCUCCUCGAGAACGAAGCUUGCAUGCAUGCUGUUCCAAAUCUAAAUGGCUAUGUUUCAUCGCAGGCUGGUCCAAGAAUUUGCUUGGGGAAAGAGUUUGCCUAUAGACAGAUGAAAAUAUUUGCAAUGGUGCUCCUACGCUUCUUCAAGUUCAAGCUUGGUGACGAGAAGAAGGAUGUUGAAUACAGAACCAUGAUGACUCUCCACAUCGAUCAAGGCCUAUACCUCCAAGUACUCCACAGAUAGAAUACGUGUAGCAUACUUUCUCCAGAAGUAUUUUUAAGCCAUGUAAUCAAACUCAUUAAGAUGUAUAUGCUGUAGGGAUGUAUUUGGAAAUCUAACAUCGACGAGCAGUAUCUAAGGUUUCCCUUAAUUUUUCUUGGGUUGACAUGGAUUUUGUGAUUUGUGAUAAAGAUUUUGAUCUUCCAUUAAAUCACUUUAAUUUGUGCUGAUUUUUUGAUAUAUUCAUUCUGAUCUUACUAUUUUUUAAAGUUGAAAGGUCUUUCCCCAACAUUUAUAUUUCAAGAAGACCAAUUUGUGGAUCCUAAAGCACAAUUAUAAGCAGCUGACUUUACUCCGAGUCUACUGGUCGUUUCCGAAGGUGAUGGCAUCACAAAAGCUGGAGGACUAAAGCGAACAUUAUGAAAGCUGACCGUACUUUUUCUCAGCCAGUCAUUGAUAUCUUUUGUUUUAUUUGGGGGAUUCGGGCGUCAAAUAAGUGUUUAGAGUUUUGAUCAUCUUAAACAGUGAUAAAAAGUUUCUGAUCAACGAAUCCAUAUAAACCAACUCACGUCGAGUAAUCAUAAAGUU